GAAUCUAAGAGACCAGUAAAAGAUAACCUUAUGAUACAUUAUGUGCUGUUGCAUUUCUACUCUUUCCGGAUGCGAAAGUGGAUAUUGACUUCAUAAAUUCAACACUACUUGACUUUGAUUGACAGGAGAGGCCAGAGAAAUAAGUGUGGAAGAUAUUAAAUCAUACAGCAACCCACAUUCACUCUUGUUGAGAAUAACUUAUGUAAAUAAAGAAUGUUACAGAUGGAAGUAUGUAAUUGUAAUUCCUGAAAACAGUGUAGAUGGAGAAAAAGUUUGAAAGUUCCCAGCACAAAGUGGAAACCUAAAUACUUGUGUUGUUUCCAUAAAACACCUGAAGAACAAAGCAUAAAUGAUACCAAAUGAGUAAAAACAACUCCAUGAUCAUUUACAUUAGAAGAAUCAUAUGCAAGACCAAUAAUGAUUUUUAAAAACUAAAGUUUUAUGUUGUGAGAUUAUCUAACAUCUUACAGAACUUUUCCCUUCUGUCAUAGGCACUUGCUCUGUAAUGUUAACUUACUUGAUUAUUAAAACCUCUAAAUCAGCUAGACACCUAAAGACCUACAUGGCUGACUAUAUAGCAUUGUUUCUUUAAGGUAAUUUAAACUGAAAAGGAGGAUAACACAUAUUUAAGUAAUAUGUAGCAAUUGUUCAGUUUUUCUUUUUUCUUAAAAUUUUAAAUUUUGCAAAUAAUUUCUUAAUUCAGUCUUGAAUGUUAUAAAAUUAUAUUUUUGUUAUUUAUAUAAAAUGAUAGAGUAUAGAAAAUGUAGAUGAUCAUUGCAAUGAUUUGUGUCACAUAAACCCAAUUGUGCACCCAAAUAGAUAGUUUGGAUCUUGUAGAAAUAAAGUAUUUUAUUGUGGACCAGAAUGAUUGGUAUGAAAGUAUUAUAUAGCCCAUAUCCUAAAAUAUCAUCUUCAUAGUACAUACAUGUGCACUGGAAAAUUCGGUCUCAAAAAUUAAUGAAAUCAAGAUUUUUUUUAAAAAAAGCUUUGCAUAUUGAUUUCAAGAUUUUUUCCUAAAAAACUGCAUAUUGGUUUCUCAGUUACUUGUAUAACUAUUCCAAAUCUCUUUUUUCCCAUAUGAACAAUAUUCUUCAGACAUAAGUAGUUUGUUGGGUCCACAUUAAUUAUAUGUGAACUGUCUUUCAUCUAAUGGCAAAAGGAUAAGAUUCACUGAAUCUCUUCUUUAUAUACAAAGAGAAAAAAGCAAUUUCAAUAUACUAUACUUUCUUAAUAGAUGCCGAUACUUGGAAAGAGCACUGAAACUACUUUUAUGACUAUAGAAACAUAUUGAUUCAUCAUUUAAGUAGUUCUCCUAUUUUAGCUUAAAAGUAAAAUCUUCAGAUCUGGAAGAGCUCUAGAGGUGAAUUAGUAGUAUGCAUGCAUUAAUUCAUGAAAAGUUCAAACUGGUCUUGAGAUGGCAUUUUAAAGUGUUGACGAAGUUUAAUCAUUCUUUUCUUAGGUACUGGAUAUGACCUCAGCUUAAGUUUUGUAUUGACUUCCAGCAGAGGUUCUGUACUGCUGUUUUUACUUCCUUCGUUAAAGUACUCAACAUAUUAACUGAAACAAUCAAUCAGAUAUACAUCCACUAAUAUUCAUGACAUAUAGUAUUAUCUCCUAUAUUUAAAUUAAUAGUUAUUACAUAUACUACAUGCCAUUGCUUUCUUUUUUUAUUAUGUAUUUUCUAUUUUAGUUACCUCUCAGUGAAAAGUGAUUUAGAAAUUGUGUCAGUUUUGCAGAUAAAAUAUGUGUACAGAUGUUAAGUGCACAUUCAAAAUUGGCAGUACUUAACUCAGCCGGAGAAUGGGGAUCUGUUUUAAGUGUGCACGUUGUAAUUAUUUAAAGCUUUGUACAUUUGGCAUUUACUACAUGAACAUGUACCCUUCACAGUGCAAAUGUUUCCUGUAAGUGGUAUGUGAGUACUAGCUGAUAAAGCUUUGGAGGCACUUAAGCACCUAAUAGAGGUUUGGGGUACAGUGAGUAUGAAGUGUUUUAAUGAAUCAUGAGAUUUUUAAAAGUAGCAUUGAUGCCACACUUUUUAUCUGUGAAAUGAUUUGCAUUCUCAUUUUCAGAUAAGAGAACUUGAAUCCUAGAGUAGUCAUAGGAACCAUGAAUGGCUACUUCAGAGUACGACUAGAGAAUAAAGUAUAUUUCCUAGCGUACCAUUUAUAUGGAGACAUUUCUAAAGGAAAGGUAUUGGAUGGGGUAGGAAACAUCAAAAUGUUACUGUGUUCUGUGAAUUUUUAUCAAAAAUAGAUGAAGUAAUUAAUUCUGGAUCAAAAUAAAUGCUUUCUUGAUCACAGUCAUUAAGUGGCCAGGUUUGUUUCUUAUCUGUUGACUUAGUUAACAGAUACAGAACACUACUGUUUUAGUAAUUAUGGUGUAGUUUCUAUCAUCCACUUCUACAUUGAGCUCCUUCAGGGAAGGGGUGAUUGUUUAUUAAUCUUUUUGUUCACAUAAAGUGCCCCGACAUAAUGGGAAAUUAAUAAUAUUUGUUGGAUUUAUAAUGAUGCAAUUGGACAUUUCUGGAAAGAAUUCACCCAUGUUGAAAAAUAAAUCAGUGGAUUUGAAGCUUGGGUAAUUCGAAUCUCAUAAAAGAUUUCUUAAGAAAACACUAGCAUAGCGUUCAUAUGGCCCCUAAAAUGCUAAGCAUAAUUUAUACCCCCAUAUGGAUAGACCUCUUUGCAUCCUUUGAUAAUAUGGGUCAUUUAUAGGGGUGAAGGAUGAGUUGAAUCUUCUCCACACCAAAAUAAAGCAUGUUCUUAACUGAUCCCUGAGUCAGGAAGCCACAGGUAGUAAUAUCUUCCUAACAUCUUCCUCCCUUUGCUUGGUUAUGUGGAUGUGCCUUAUGCAUAAUUACAAUUAAAUGCAAUUGUGCAUCAGCAAAGAUUUUUGGUUAGCAUACCACAGCCAACUACAAGUAGCUGCCAAGUUUUUCUCUCUUGGUGAGAAAUAUAAGAAAAACUGGCCAGAAUUUUAGAGAGAAUAAUAACUUAUACCUACAAAAUUUUCAUUUUUAAUGUACUUAAAUAUAUAUUGAGGACAAAUGUUAUUUGAUCAGUUAAAUCAAGGCAUCACCUGAUGUUAUUGUGAAGUUCCUUAUAUAGUAUGUUUAGAAUUUUUUUUCCUUCUAAGUGUAAGGGGAUUUGUGUGUGUUUGUGUGUGUGUGUAUGUGACAUGCCUUAGUCUUGCCCUUACCUGAGAAGUCUACUAUGAAUUUUGAAGAUCCAAAAUUUUAUGAUGCAGAUUUCCCAGGAGAGUUUAUGUUCUGAAAUACUGUUACAAAUAGCGGCACAAGUGGACGAAGGACUGAGUUCUAUCAGACAUUAAUUUGUAAUUAAAGAAUAUAAUAUUUUAGAAGUCUGAGUAAAUUAUUCAUAGGAAUUUGGUGCUUAGUAGGUUGCCAGGGAGUGAGCUUACACGGGAACUUUAGAAUAAGAUCCCCACUUCUUAAGUAGAAGUCUUUAUUUCUAGAACAAUUUUUUUACUUUAAAGUAUCUGUAAAAAAAUGUACAUUGUUAGUGAUUUUGAAAUAGUAGUAUAAUGGCAUACGAAUUUUUUAUGAAAAUGUGGAGUAUCUUAGCCUGUUGGACAGUUGUUAAUAUUUUUAGAAUUAAUAUCUAUAUAAAUUACAGAUAUUCAAGUAAGCCAGAUUUGUGUUUUUACUUGGAUAUGCAGAAUGAACAAGGACAGGGAUUUUCCCAAUGUCUUAUAGUUGUGCCCAAAUAAAUUUAUUAUUGCAAAUGUGAUGGAACCAUCACCUUUCUUUAUUGCUAUGUAGUUUUACAAUGGUUUUUGAAUACCCAAGCUAACAUUUUAUUUUAAAUGGGUUAUAUUUUAUCUUCUAAUAUCACCUGAAGAGUCUUAAAAUCAGCAGUAAGUUAUAUCCAAGGAAAUUGGAUUCUAUCAUAGAAAUAGAAACCCCCACCUAGCAUGCAUUGUUUGCUUCAAUAAUUGCUUGUGUUCAAUUUUGGGAUCCAUUGUGUCUUUGAGCUUUUAAUGCUUUGUUCAUUUACUCAUGUACUAACAAAUAUUAAAGUGAUCUGUAUGAAUGCUAUGUAUUUUCAACCAACCAAUUUUAGUCUUACAAUCCAAAAUAAAAUCUUCAAAACUGCA